GUUUUCGAGGGGGAAAUGCAAGCACAUUCUCCAGCAUGGAGUCCCUAGAGGCAGUGCAUUUUAAACCCUAAAUGUGAAUUAUUAUGUGAGUGUCCGAGUAGAGUUCCAGUUCCGUUUGGAGAAACUGUAUGAGGCGUGUUCCGUGUGGGUGUGUGUGCGUACGGAUACGUGGAAGCAGGAUCUCGGUGUCGCGGGUGUCCCUAGGCUGGGAUCUCCCCCUCUCAUCAGAUAAGGAGAAUCCUCUAGCUCCCCAAAACUGGCCCCCAUAACCAAUCCCGUCUCAGUUCGUAAGGGGUUAACCAAAGCCGAUUCCAAGGAAACACAGGUCCCCCCCACCCCCCGCCACCCUCCACUUACCCCACCCACAGUUCUGCCUCGGACCCCGGCCAAUCCCCCAGAUCUCCCCCGGGACCCCCCACCCCGCAGCCCACCCACCCGAGCGCACAGCUCCUCACCUGAGGGGCCCAGUCGCGUCGGGCCUCCCGAGGGGGCUGCGAGUGUCAGUCGGCUCUCCGCACGUGUCCGCGGCCUCGCGGAGCAGUCCACCCCUGGCUGGUUUCUGCUUCCACCUGCUGAUCUCACAGAGGUGAGGUGAUAACAGUGAUGAAACAAAAUCUUCAAACCACAGCACACACUGCAAGCUAUUUGGCAUAUGAAGGUCUUGACCUGAGAAAACCAUCUUGGAUAACUGCAGCAAGGAAAAGGAAAAAUGCAACACCUAGGAGAUUUCAGUAAACAGUAGAAUCAUGCCAACCUAAUCUGUGUUAAAAUGCUUGGAAUGUGGGAGCCGCUGAUGAUGCCUCUUGUCUGUGUGUCUGACUGAAUCCUUUCUUUUCUCAGAGCAGCAAAGCAAAGCCUGGGAACCAGGCCAAAUGCCUGCCACUUACCUUAAAUUGAUCAGCCACUUUGAGAUUAAAACCCCUGAAAGCUGCCACACCGUGAAAACAAGGCCUCCUUCACAUUAAAGGUUGCUCUGCAGCAGACCUAUUUAAUUGUGCAUGGAUAUAAGUGAUUCAUCCUAACUAUACAUGCUUAAAGCUCCCCAGGGGAAAGGGGAAUGACCUUCCUGAUAUCUCUCCACCAUUCUUGUAACAGUCCUCUGUUCUGAAAAGACACUCAUUAAAUCUGGAAAAUUGAAGAUGCACAGAAUCUUUUGUGUCAUUUCAUAAAAUGCCAGCUACAACUCUGGAUGCAUGAGCACACAUGUGACCAUCACUUGCAAAUAAUACUGAUUAUUUCUGAGCCUGGGUUAGUCUGUUUAGCAAUCAUAAUAAGACAUUUGCCUUGUUUUGCAGAGUGUCAGAAAGCCACAGCCAUGAUAAAAGGAAACACAGAAAAAGCUAUGGCUCAGUGUGUUGGUCAACUCUGUUUCUGCCCCUUUUUAACCAGUUUGUCUUAUAAGUUUGUCGUUAAAAUUUUCCAUCACACCUAAUAGACUUUUAUCUUGAUCAUCAAUUUUAUAACUUCCAAGUCUUCAUACUUCAUAUUUCCUAUUAAUUGUGAUUGUUCUGUGUUUCUUUUUUUUCUAUUUUUUUAAAAAUUAUCUUUAAGUUCUGGGGUGCAUGUGCAGAACCUGCAGUUUUGUUACAUAGGUAUGCAUGUGCCAUGGUGGUUUGCUGCACCCGCGAAUCCAUCCACUACUUGAGGUAUUUCUCCUAAUGCUAUCCCUCUCCUAGCCCCCCACCCCGACAGGCCCUGGUAUGUGAUGUUCCCCUCCCU
rnacentral:lncRNA from 1 species